GAGCGGUGGGAGCAGCGCUCGUCCGCCGUUGGGGCCCCCAGCCCGCGCGCGUGAAGCAGCUAGCCGACCAAGCCCCGGAAGGCGAGUGCCGGAGGGGGCGGGACAGCUCCUCCGGGGCCAGCGGGCACCAGGCUUGGGGGCUGAGGCCCAGCGGCCCGAGACCAACUGGGCUGACCGAGGCCGCCUCCCCGCCAGCCCUGGGGUCCACUGCCCGGGGAGCAGCUCCCUUCCCAGGUCAGACUCGGGCUUCAUCCUCUCUUGCCGCGCGCCGAGCGGUUUUCAACUCUCACUGCUAGAAUUCCUCCAACCACCCAGGAUAGCAGGACCGAGAUACAUGGCCACCCAUGACCCGGAGCGUCCACUUCCAGGGACAGGCAGUGGUGAUUGGCUUCGGUUGUCAUCUGUGCCAUCUGUCCAUGGUUCGAGAAGCUGCUGUUCACGUUUUGGGGAGGAUCAUGGUUUGAGGGCUCCCGUGGUAGAAUUUGGGGAGCUCUCAUAGGCAGAAGGCUGAGAAAAGUUGGUGCUGUGGGAAGUCAACUGGCAGCCGAUGGAGUCGGGACCCGGGAGGAAUGGAAAGGGAACCCAGAUAGGAAGCUACUGCAGUAGGCUCAGAGAGGUGAUGACGGCAGGGCUAAGACAGCGGCCUUGGGCGGUGACUGGGAAGAACGUUGAACACCGUGUUUGGGCUGAAGAAAAGAGCAAGGGAAGAGUCCCAGCUGCUCUGGAGUUUGAGGCAGGAGGAUGGCUUGAACCCAAGAGGUGGAGGCUGAAGUGAGCCAAGAUCGCGCCACUGCACUCCAGCCUGGGCGACAGGGCAAAACCCUGUCUCUAAAAAGAACUUUUUAAAAAAGCACCUGUAGAUUUAAGCACAUAAUAACUACACUUUUGUCUGUUUUAUUAUGAUAUCAAAGUUAAAUUUAUGAUGAAUGACUAACUGGACAAAACUGAGAGCAACCACCACAGAGGUGAAUAUACUGAAUGUAUAACACUCUCUAAUAAUUUUAAGAACUCCGCUCUAAUGAGCAGAUAUCACAGAAAGAGACUUUUCAGAUGAAAUACCGAUGACCAGGAAAUCUGUGAGACCAUUUUAAAAAAUUCGAAGUCAUUGAAGAAAUGCAAAGCUUCCAGGCUCCACUUUUCACUGAUGAAAUUGGCAGAGUUUGGGACAAUGAGAUGUUGCUGUCCCGGGAGUGCGGAUGGGGCUGUGUCCUGUGAUGGCGGUGGGCACUGGCACUCUUGUCCAGAAAGACAUUCACCACUGUGGUUCAAGAAGCACCUCAAAGGUCUUCACCUUGGUCCCUUGUCCACCUCUGCCCGCGGUCUCUCCUCCUUUCAGCCUCCUCUUUCCCACACAGUCCCUCCCGCCCUGGCUUGGUCCCCUUUCUUCUGACUGGGUCAGGCAUGUGGGUGACUCUUUGACUUCCAAGGCUCUGUCUACUUGGCUUUUUUCUUUCACCUGUUCUGCAGAAUAACAGCCUGAUUCGUUCCUCUUUUUGGGUCCUUCACUUCCAUACCUGGGAUUCGGGGCGUGGCCCAGAAAGACCCUGCAGUCUUGCAGUGUGGGGCUGCCAGCAUUUCAUGGCCUCCAAGCUCAGCUGGGCUGAAUGAACGCUGCCAUCCAGCGCUUGGCUCAUUUUCUGUCCCAUUUUCCUGAGUGCUUUUGCCAGACUUACACUUUUCUGAAAGCUACUCCACCCUACCCCAGACACACCCUCUCUCCUCGGAUGACCUGCCUCCUAAUUUCCUGAGAAAACUGGACAUGGCCACCUUUCCCCAGUGUCUGAGGCCCAGGUUGACCCGUGGUCAUGGUCGCUGUCACCACCCACCUGCCUGUAUGACAGAGUGAGACCCUGUCUCAAAAAAAAAUAAAAAGAA
ensembl:lncRNA LINC02175 long intergenic non-protein coding RNA 2175